GAGUGCGCUUUGCUUUCCUGGGGUCUGGGGCUAAUUCCUCCUCUCUUACCCAUAAACUCAGCUCCUGGAGCUAAAUUACACGAAAGGGAGCGAGAGAUUCGAACCGUUGGGAAAAGUCUGUUAUAUAUACUAGGUUUAGAAGCGAGUAAGAGAAAAAACCAAACACCACAGCUCUUUGCAGCUAGAAUAUUAGGCACCACGAGAAAAAUAUUUGCCAAGCAGUUUUCGAAGCCUAUCUGAAGCCGGCUUGAUGGCAGGGAGAGCUGGAGAGCAGAAGAAUGUGCAGGGGGAGGGAGUGCUUGGUACUUUUCCAUUCACAUCUCCACAGUGGCUUUUCUUGUUUAUUUCAGCCUCCACCCGCAGGAACCUUUCUACUGCCUGAAAUUCGAGUCAUUAAACUGUUCCCUGUGGUCAGACUACAGAUGUUGGUUCUGCCUGGAAGUCCUUAUGGGCCCUGGAGCAAAAUCACUUGUCAAGACUCAGUUUCCUCGACUAUGUGAAGGAAUAACCCAGAUGAUAUGCAUGAUGUCUAUUUGCUCAAAAUUCUAUACCCAUGUAUCUAAAUACAUAUUUACAUAACUUUAAGGUGGGGAGGGAGAGAUGGAAAGGAGCUUUGUGUAUUUGUGUACCUGGGGUGGGGGAAUGGGUUAAAAUGUAAACUAAGUAAAGAAGGCAAUCCCAGAAUCCUCACCUCUAUCAAUUUUUAACCAAUUGUAGACCAAAGUCUGGGAUUAUCUGAGUGGGUCCAAAAGCCAAUUGAAGAUUUUAAAUGUUAGGAGUUGGAAGAAGCAUUUUCUAAGACCUUAUAAUUUUGAUCUCCAGCAUUCAGAAUCAGAUGUGACAAUUCCCAAGUGUCUUUUCUGACCUAGAAUUCUUCUGUAGUUUUGUUUGUUUUUGGAAACUGUCCUAGGUAAUGAUAGAAAGGAGAUGACACUUGUAAACUGGGCAGUCUUUAAGCCACUGAGCCCCGUGUGGGUGUGAAAAAUAUAUCAUAAUGUGGAGAGAGAGAGAGAGAGAGAGAGA